rnacentral:rRNA from 1 species
UACGUAGGGGGCAAGCGUUGUCCGGAUUUAUUGGGCGUAAAGAGCGUGUAGGCGGUUUGGUAGGUCCGUUGUGAAAACUCGAGGCUCAACCUCGAGACGCCGGCGGAAACCGUCAGGCUAGAGUCCGGAAGAGGAGAGUGGAAUUCCUGGUGUAGCGGUGAAAUGCGCAGAUAUCAGGAAGAACACCCGUGGCUAAGGCGGCUCUCUAGUACGGUACUGACGCUGAGACGCGAAAGCGUGGGGAGCGAACAGG